rnacentral:SRP_RNA from 1 species
UGUCGGGUCCUACGCGACGCAUCCCCGCCAACCCCGCCAGGUCCGGAAGGAAGCAACGGUAACGGGUUCUUGCAUGUGCAGUGGGCUCCCCGAUACCU